CGCGUAGGAACCUGCCCAGUAGUGGGGGAUAGCCCGGUGAAAACCGGAUUAAUACCGCAUACGCUCUACGGAGGAAAGGGGGCUUCGGCUCUCGCUAUUGGAUGGGCCCGCGUCUGAUUAGCUAGUUGGUGAGGUAAGAGCUCACCAAGGCAUCGAUCAGUAGCUGGUCUGAGAGGAUGAUCAGCCACACUGGGACUGAGACACGGCCCAGACUCCUACGGGAGGCAGCAGUGGGGAAUUUUCCGCAAUGGGCGAAAGCCUGACGGAGCAACGCCGCGUGAGGGAUGAAGGCCUCUGGGC
rnacentral:rRNA from 1 species